GAUGAACGCUGGCGGCGUGCUUAACACAUGCAAGUCGAACGGAAAGGCCCGGCUCUUGUGGGGUGCUCGAGUGGCGAACGGGUGAGUAACACGCGAGUAACCUGCCCUUGACUUUGUGAUAACUUUAGGAAACUGGGGCUAAUACCGGAUAGGAGCUCCUGCUGCAUGUUGGGGGUUGGAAAGUUUCGGCGGUUGGGGAUGGACUCGCUGCUUAUCAGCUUGUUGGUGGAGUAGUGGCUUACCAAGGUUUUGACGGGUAGCCGGCCUGAGAGGGUGACCGGGCACAAUGGGACUGAGGUACGGCGCAGACGGCAACGGGAGGCAGUGGUGGGGAAUAUUGCACAGUGGGCGGGCGCGUGAUGCGGAGGCGUCGCGUGCGGAAAGACGGCUUUCGGGUUGUGAACCGCUUUCGCCUGAGACGAGGAGUGAGUGACGGUAAUGGGUAAAGAAGCACCGGCUAACUACGUG
rnacentral:rRNA from 1 species